rnacentral:rRNA from 1 species
UACGAAGGGUGCAAGCGUUACUCGGAAUUACUGGGCGUAAAGCGUGCGUAGGUGGUUCGUUAAGUCUGAUGUGAAAGCCCUGGGCUCAACCUGGGAAUGGCAUUGGAAACUGGCGACCUAGAGUGCGGUAGAGGGUAUGGAAUUCCCGGUGUAGCAGUGAAAUGCGUAGAGAUCGGGAGGAACAUCCGUGGUGAAGGCGACUACCUGGACCAGCACUGACACUGAGGCACGAAAGCGUGGGGAGCAAACAGG